GAGAACUGCACUAUCUGAAGCCAAAACCUUCUUUUGAAGGCCUGUGAAGACAGCAAGUUUAAAUGCAAAAGGGGGAAUGACCAGAGGAAGGAUAGAUGCAAUACAGAUGAACCAGAGAACAGAGCCUUGGACUCAGAAUUCAGAGCUUUAUAUUUGAGAGAAUGGUCUUAGCUAUGCAAGGCUUCUAAUAAUCUCCUAUAACUGUUUUCCAACCACAUUCUAAGGAAAUCCUGGUUUCCUGGUGAGCUUGUGAGGAUCUGUAGAGUUCCAGAAGGUUCCAGGACGUUGACAUUUCAAUUUAGGGAGACAUAAAAAAGAAAUUCCAAAGUGGGCAGGAGGACAAAGUAGAGGAAUUGACUUGCUCCAACUGUUAUUAGGUGUCUGGCUCCUUCUAUCCACUGACUGAAAAAGAAAAACUUGUUUUUACUUGCUGAAAAUUCCAAUCUGCUUGUGUCUCUGGCUCACAACCUAAGGCACAGCUUAUUUUUAAUUUCAUUCUCUAGCUUGAAGGGACCUGGCAGGCAGUAAUGGCCAAUACACAGGUUUUUAGAAAACAAACAUAAAGCUUUCCUUAGGA